UAGGGAAUCUUCGGCAAUGGGGGGAACCCUGACCGAGCAACGCCGCGUGAGUGAAGAAGGUUUUCGGAUCGUAAAGCUCUGUUGUUAAGGAAGAACGAGUGUGAGAAUGGAAAGUUCAUACUGUGACGGUACUUAACCAGAAAGGGACGGCUAACUACGUGCCAGCAGCCGCGGUAAUACGUAGGUCCCGAGCGUUGUCCGGAUUUAUUGGGCGUAAAGCGGGCGCAGGCGGUUAGAUAAGUCUGAAGUUAAAGGCAGUGGCUCAACCAUUGUAGGCUUUGGAAACUGUUUAACUUGAGUGCAGAAGGGGAGAGUGGAAUUCCAUGUGUAGCGGUGAAAUGCGUAGAUAUAUGGAGGAACACCGGUGGCGAAAGCGGCUCUCUGGUCUGUAACUGACGCUGAGGCUCGAAAGCGUGGGGAGCGAACAGG
rnacentral:rRNA from 1 species